GCCUACGACCAUAUCACCCUGAAUACGCCCGAUCUUGUCCGAUCUUGUCCGAUCUCGGAAGCUAAGCAGAGUCGAGCCUGGUUAGUACUUGGAUGGGAGACCGCCUGGGAAUACCAGGUGUUGUAGGCU
rnacentral:rRNA from 1 species